rnacentral:rRNA from 1 species
AUUGAACGCUGGCGGAAUGCUUUACACAUGCAAGUCGAGCGGCAGCACGGGGGCAACCCUGGUGGCGAGCGGCGAACGGGUGAGUAAUACAUCGGAACAUGCCCAGUCGUGGGGGAUAACACUUCGAAAGAAGUGCUAAUACCGCAUACGUCCUGAGGGAGAAAGCGGGGGAUCUUCGGACCUCGCGCGAUUGGAGUGGCCGAUGUCAGAUUAGCUAGUUGGGGGGGUAAAGGCCUACCAAGGCAACGAUCUGUAGCUGGUCUGAGAGGAUGAUCAGCCACACUGGAACUGAGACACGGCCCAGACUCCUACGGGAGGCAGCAGUGGGGAAUUUUGGACAAUGGGGGCAACCCUGAUCCAGCCAUUCCGCGUGAGUGAAGAAGGCCUUCGGGUUGUAAAGCUCUUUCGGCAGGAACGAAACGGCGAGCUCUAACAUAGCUUGCUAAUGACGGUACCUGAAGAAGGAGCACCGGCUAACUACGUGCCAGCCGCCGCCGUAAAAC